GAUUAACUCAUGCAAGAUCAAUUGGGUUUUGGUAGGACCCAAUAUAUGAGAUUUUCUCAUUGAUUGAUUGAUUGCUAUGCUUGAUUGGUUUGCCUCACUAUAUGACAUGCAUGCGAAUAUUCUACAUUUGUGCACUAACCUUGUCUCUUAUGAUAGCGCUCAGCUUGUGACUAAGGUAUGCCUCGUACUCGAUUGCGUUUAUCAAUUUAUUUGUUAUCAUGUGUGUCUUGCUUUCACACAUUUUUUCAUUGUUUGGUAUCCAUGUUUAACCGAUCAAUUGCCAUACUUGUUUCAUCAACAUUUGAUAAUUAGAAAUAGUUCUUUCUCCAGAUCUUUACUCAUGGUUGGUUUGCCUAGUACAUUGAAAUCACUAAAAAUCUAUAACUCUACCAAACUAUAGUUUCUCCUACCUGAGUUGUUGAGAUGCCACCACCCAUUCCUUGAAUAUAUAUGGAUUGAAGGUAGCACCUGUGAUUCUCCUUCAUUAUCCUUGUCAUUAAGCAUCUUCCCCAGGUUGACUAAUCUCAGAAUGGAAGACCUUGAGGGGCUUGAAUCUCUAUCCAUUUUGAUAUCCAAGGGAGACCCCACAUCUCUUAGUUGCUUAACUGUCACAGCAUGCCCUAGUCUUGUAUCGAUUGAAUUGCCCGCUCUCAACUUAGCAAGCUAUUGGAUCUCCCAUUGCUCGGAGCUCAAGUUUCUGAAGCACAACCUCUCAUCUUUGCAGAGAUUGAGUUUAGAGGCUUGUCUAGAAUUGUUGUUCAAGAGAGAGAGUUUGCCCUUGGACUUACGUGAACUUGAAAUUUCAAACUGCAAUAAACUCACCUCCCAGGUGGACUGGGGUUUGCAAAGAGUGGCCUCUCUUACACAUUUCACAAUCAGGAAUAGAUGCGAAGACAUGGAAUUAUUUCCUGGUGAGUGCCUGCUGCCCUCCACUCUUACCUCUCUUGAAAUUGAGCAUCUUCCUAAUCUCAAGUCUCUGGAAAGCAAGGGGCUUCAACAACUUACCUCUCUCACAAAAUUAUCCAUCCUUAACUGCCCUAAGUUCCAAUCCUUUGGAGAAGUGGGUCUUCAACAUCUUAUCUCUCUUCGCCAUAUAUAGAUUAGUUACUGCCCUGUUCUCCAAUCCUUAACAGAUGUGGGUCUUCAACACCUCAUCUCUCUUGAGGAAUUGUGGGUCAUCGACUGUCCUAAGCUCCAAUACUUGGCAAAAGAGAGACUGCCAAACUCCCUCUCUUGUCUGACAAUCAAGGAAUGUCCUUUACUGGAACAUCGUUGCCAAUUUGGGAAAGGCCAAUAUUGGCAUUAUAUAGCUCACAUUCCACACAUAAUCAUCAAUGAUGUGCUAUACUAAUGAAGGCAGAAAUGUAUGAAUGUGCACUCAGGGUUUGACUAAUAUGUCUCCAGUCAUAAGGCAUGGUAUGAAGCAGGUCUCCUGGCAUAUAUACUAGGUUACUUGUCUUCUUGAGCCUCAAUUAUGAUUUGUGGUUAUUUUAAUUGUUUUGAUCCUUUGUCAUGACCUAUUAUGGAUUCCUACCUAUUGAUUUCUUCUGGAUGGUUCAACAGUGCCGACUUCAUUUUCUAAUUCGCAAAUUACAGGUUUCUCUUAAUCAUGACUACAUCAUUUUGUAGGUUCUAUGAGGUUGACAUGUUUAAAGGAACAGAUAUGCUUUCUUUUGGCUAAUACUUUUCAAUAGCUAGCUCAUUUUGUGUUCUAUGUUGCUUCAAUUUACAAUAAAAUUGUUACAAGGGUUCUGCCAGAUGGAAGGUGGAGUGAGGAAGAUGUUGUUUUACUACCUGGAUGAAUUUUUCCUAUUGAACACAUAGGUGCUAUUUCUAUUGAUAGUUGCCUUUUUGAUAAAGAUGAACUGAAUUGACCAGUCUGAGACGGACUUCGUUGUGGUUCUACUGGCAAACAGGGAGAGUUCACUUUUUUUAUACCACUCCAACAGUUAGGCCACUUCCCAAAG